rnacentral:rRNA from 1 species
GUUUUACCUUGACGAAUUGUAGUUUAAAGAAGUGUUUUCUGUUGGUGUUUUGGUAAAAGUUCUUUGGAAUAGGACAUCAUAGAGGGUGAGAAUCCCGUAUUUGACCAUUACUUCCAGCGUUGUGAUACACUUUCAAAGAGUCGGAUUGUUUGGGAAUGCAGUCCAAAAUGGGUGGUAAAUUUCAUCUAAAGCUAAAUAUUGGCGAGAGACCGAUAGCGAACAAGUACCGUGAGGGAAAGGUGAAAAGAACUUUGAAAAGAGAGUUAAACAGUACGUGAAAUUGUCAAAAGGGAAGCGUUUGACACCAGUGUUGUUUUCUCGAAAAUCAAUUAAAAAGAGUUGGAUUUUGUAUUGUUAAGACCUUAUCAGCUUACUGUACUUUUUUCUUGCUCUUUUU